rnacentral:rRNA from 1 species
AGUGAACGCUGGCGGCGUGCUUAACACAUGCAAGUCGAACGAGAACGGAUUAUAGCUUGCUAUAAUUGUCAGCUAAGUGGCGCACGGGUGAGUAAUGUAUAGGUAAUAUGCCUCUUACUAAGGGAUAACAAAUGGAAACGUUUGCUAAUACCUUAUACUCCUUAUUAACAGAAGUUAAUAAGGGAAAGAUUUAUUGGUAAGAGAUUAGCCUGUAUUGUAUCAGUUAGUUGGUGGGGUAAUGGCCUACCAAGACUAUGACACAUAACUGGUUUGAGAGGAUGAUCAGUCUCACUGGAACUGAGACACGGUCCAGACUCCUACGGGAGGCAGCAGUGGGGAAUAUUGCACAAUGGACGAAAGUCUGAUGCAGCAACGCCGCGUGGAGGAUGACACAUUUCGGUGCGUAAACUCCUUUUAUAUGAGAAGAUAAUGACGGUAUUAUAUGAAUAAGCACCGGCUAACUCCGUGCCAGCCGCCGCUUAAAAC